UACGUAGGGUGCAAGCGUUGUCCGGAAUUAUUGGGCGUAAAGAGCUCGUAGGCGGUCUGUCGCGUCGGCUGUGAAAUCCCGGAGCUCAACUCCGGGUCUGCAGUCGAUACGGGCAGACUGGAGUUCGGCAGGGGAGACUGGAAUUCCUGGUGUAGCGGUGAAAUGCGCAGAUAUCAGGAGGAACACCGGUGGCGAAGGCGGCACUCUGGGCCGGUACUGACGCUGAGGAGCGAAAGCGUGGGGAGCAAACAGG
rnacentral:rRNA from 1 species